rnacentral:rRNA from 2 species
ACGAUGAAACUUAAAUGAUUUCUUCGGAAUGAACUUAAGUGGAUUAGUGGCGGACGGGUGAGUAACGCGUGAGUAACCUGCCUUACACAAGGGGAUAGCCGUUGGAAACGACGAAUAAUACCCUAUGAAACUAUCACUUCGCAUGAAGCGGUAGUCAAAGUGUUAGCGGUGUAAGAUGGACUUGCGUCUGAUUAGCUAGUUGGUGAGAAAAAAGCCCACCAAGGCAACGAUCAGUAGCCGACUUGAGAGAGUGUACGGCCACAUUGGGACUGAGACACGGCCCAGACUCCUACGGGAGGCAGCAGUGGGGAAUUUUGCACAAUGGGGGAAACCCUGAUGCAGCGACGCCGCGUGAUUUAGAAGGCCUUCGGGUUGUAAAAAUCUUUUGUAUAGGAAGAAAAUGACAGUACUAUACGAAUAAGGUCCGGCUAAUUACGUGCCAGCAGCCGCGGUAAUACGUAAGGACCGAGCGUUGUCCGGAAUCAUUGGGCGUAAAGGGUACGUAGGCGGGUCAUUAAGUUAGAAGUCAAAGGCUAUAGCUCAACUAUAGUAAGCUUCUAAAACUGGAGACCUUGAGUAAUGGAAGGGAAAGUGGAAUUCCUAGUGUAGCGGUGGAAUGCGCAGAUAUUAGGAGGAAUACCGGUGGCGAAGGCGACUUUCUGGCC